rnacentral:rRNA from 1 species
UACAGAGGGGGCAAGCGUUGUUCGGAAUUACUGGGCGUAAAGGGCGCGUAGGCGGCCUGUUAAGUCGAACGUGAAAUCCCCGGGCUCAACCCGGGAACUGCGUCCGAUACUGGCAGGCUUGAAUUCGGGAGAGGGAUGCGGAAUUCCAGGUGUAGCGGUGAAAUGCGUAGAUAUCUGGAGGAACACCGGUGGCGAAGGCGGCAUCCUGGACCGGCAUUGACGCUGAGGAGCGAAAGCCAGGGGAGCAAACGGG